AUGAACGCUAGCGACAGGCCUAACACAUGCAAGUCGAGGGGCAGCACAAGGAGCAAUCUGAGGUGGCGACCGGCGCACGGGUGAGUAACACGUAUGCAACCUGCCUGUAAGCGGGGAAUAACCCGUUGAAAGACGGACUAAUACCGCAUAAUACUAAAUUACUGCAUGGUAAUUUAUUUAAACAUUUAUGGCUUACAGAUGGGCAUGCGCAUGAUUAGCUAGUCGGAGAGGUAACGGCUCCCCAAGGCAACGAUCAUUAGGGGUUCUGAGAGGAAGGUCCCCCACACUGGUACUGAGACACGGACCAGACUCCUACGGGAGGCAGCAGUGAGGAAUAUUGGUCAAUGGACGAGAGUCUGAACCAGCCAAGUCGCGUGCAGGAAGAAUUGUCCUAUGGAUUGUAAACUGCUUUUGCAGGGGAAUAAAGUGCAUCACGUGUGAUGUUUUGUAUGUACUCUGCGAAUAAGGAUCGGCUAACUCCGUGCCAGCCGCCGC
rnacentral:rRNA from 1 species